rnacentral:rRNA from 1 species
AUUGAACGCUGGCGGCAUGCCUUACACAUGCAAGUCGAACGGCAGCACGGGAGCAAUCCUGGUGGCGAGUGGCGAACGGGUGAGUAAUGUAUCGGAACGUACCUUUCAGUGGGGGAUAACGUAGCGAAAGUUACGCUAAUACCGCAUAUUCUGUGAGCAGGAAAGCAGGGGAUCGCAAGACCUUGCGCUGAUUGAGCGGCCGAUAUCAGAUUAGCUAGUUGGUGAGGUAAAGGCUCACCAAGGCGACGAUCUGUAGCGGGUCUGAGAGGAUGAUCCGCCACACUGGAACUGAGACACGGUCCAGACUCCUACGGGAGGCAGCAGUGGGGAAUUUUGGACAAUGGGCGCAAGCCUGAUCCAGCCAUGCCGCGUGAGUGAAGAA